UACGGGAGGCAGCAGGGGGAAUAUUGCACAAUGGGCGCAAGCCUGAUGCAGCCAUGCCGCGUGUAUGAAGAAGGCCUUCGGGUUGUAAAGUACUUUCAGUCGUGAGGAGGUGUUAAGGUUAAUAACCUUAGCAAUUGACGUUAGCGACAGAAGAAGCACCGGCUAACUCCGUGCCAGCAGCCGCGGUAAUACGGAGGGUGCGAGCGUUAAUCGGAAUUACUGGGCGUAAAGGGCACGCAGGCGGUUAAUUAAGUUGGAUGUGAAAUCCCCGGGCUUAACCUGGGAAUGGCAUUCAAGCUGGUUAGCUAGAGUCUUGUAGAGGGGGUAGAAUUCCAUGUGUAGCGGUGAAAUGCGUAGAGAUGUGGAGGAAUACCGGUGGCGAAGGCGGCCCCUGGACAAAGACUGACGCUCAUGUGCGAAAGCGUGGGGAGCAAACAGGGAUUAGAUACC
rnacentral:rRNA from 1 species